GACGAACCGUGCGAACGUUGUUCGGAAUCACUGGGCUUAAAGGGCGCGUAGGCGGGCUGCCAAGUCUGGGGUGAAAUCCCACGGCUCAACCGUGGAACUGCCUCGGAUACUGGCGACCUCGAGGGGGGUAGGGGCAUGCGGAACUGUGGGUGGAGCGGUGAAAUGCGUUGAUAUCCACAGGAACUCCGGUGGCGAAAGCGGCGUGCUGGACCUCUUCUGACGCUGAGGCGCGAAAGCUAGGGGAGCAAACGGG
rnacentral:rRNA from 1 species